rnacentral:rRNA from 1 species
UACGGGGGGAGCAAGCGUUGUUCGGAUUUACUGGGCGUAAAGGGCGCGUAGGCGGUCGUGACAAGUCACUUGUGAAAUCUCCGGGCUUAACUCGGAACGGCCAAGUGAUACUGUCGGACUAGAGUACAGAAGGGGCAACUGGAAUUCUCGGUGUAGCGGUGAAAUGCGUAGAUAUCGAGAGGAACACCUGCGGCGAAGGCGGGUUGCUGGGCUGAUACUGACGCUGAGAAGCGAAAGCGUGGGGAGCGAACAGG